rnacentral:rRNA from 2 species
GAUGAACGCUGGCGGCGCGCCUAACACAUGCAAGUCGAACGAUUAAAGCACCUUCGGGUGUGUAUAAAGUGGCGAACGGCUGAGUAACACGUGGGCAACCUGCCCCUUUCAUUGGGAUAGCCACGGGAAACCGUGGAUAAUACCGAAUAAUUCGAGACUUCCGCAUGGAAGACUCGAGAAAGCUCCGGCGGAGAGGGAUGGGCCCGCGGCCUGUUAGCUUGUUGGUGGGGUAACGGCCUACCAAGGCAAUGAUGGGUAGCUGGGUUGAGAGACCGACCAGCCAGAUUGGGAAUGAGACACGGCCCAGACUCCUACGGGAGGCAGCAGUGGGGAAUCUUGCACAAUGGGCGAAAGCCUGAUGCAGCGACGCCGCGUGCGGGAUGAAGGCCUUCGGGUUGUAAACCGCUUUCAGCAGGGACGAGGCGAA